AGAGUUUGAUCAUGGCUCAGAGUGAACGCUGGCGGCAGGCCUAACACAUGCAAGUCGAACGGUAGCACAGAGGAGCUUGCUCCUUGGGUGACGAGUGGCGGACGGGUGAGGAAUACAUCGGAAUCUACCCUGUCGUGGGGGAUAACGUAGGGAAACUUACGCUAAUACCGCAUACGAACUGAGGUUGAAAGCGGCGGACCGCAAGGCGUCGCGCGAUUGGAUGAGCCGAUGUCCGAUUAGCUAGUUGGUAAGGUAAAGGCUUACCAAGGCGACGAUCGGUAGCUGGUCUGAGAGGAUGAUCAGCCACACUGGAACUGAGACACGGUCCAGACUCCUACGGGAGGCAGCAGUGGGGAAUAUUGGACAAUGGGCGCAAGCCUGAUCCAGCCAUGCCGCGUGUGUGAAGAAGGCCUUCGGGUUGUAAAGCACUUUUGUUGGGAAAGAAAAGCAUUCGGUUAAUACCCGGGUGUUCUGACGGUACCCAAAGAAUAAGCACCGGCUAACUUCGUGCCAGCAGCCGCGGUAAUACGAAGGGUGCAAGCGUUACUCGGAAUUACUGGGCGUAAAGCGUGCGUAGGUGGUUUGUUAAGUCAGAUGUGAAAGCCCCGGGCUCAACCUGGGAAUUGCAUUUGAUACUGGCAGACUAGAGUGCGGUA
rnacentral:rRNA from 1 species